rnacentral:lncRNA from 1 species
AAAUAUCACCAUGAUUUUAUCACAUAAACUAUCCAUAAAUUGAAAGAAAACUUUCAAAAUGACAAACUGGUUUCAUUACAGAGAACUGAGUUUCGUGAAAUUCUUCUCUUAAACGAAAGGAAGACAUUGUUCUUUUUGUGUUGACAAAAGCCGUAAAUUGUUUGUAAAAUAAAUACUCUUUCUGUGGACAAUCCAUCAAAUUGCAAAAAGAAGUAAAAAAAUUUAUGUAUCGACGGAGGAAAGGGACUUCAAGCAGGAGAUUGAGGAGUUGAAGGCUAAGGUAAAGUUUCUGGAACUUUUUUUUUUCCACUUUUGUCUUCCCUUCAAAUUUGUUCAUUAUUGAGUUUUAUAAAAAUAAUAUUUAACCUUUUGUUGCUAAAUCUGUUUGUUGAGUUUGUUUUUAUUUUUGAAAAUUAGUAUUUACUUCAUACUUCUGUUAACAUUUGAUAAACUGUAAUGGUUAUUCAUAGAUCAGUUAUAUUUGUUUCAUGAUUUUAAAAAGCAGGGAAGUGAUGAAUUUCUGCUAAAUUUGUGAGUGCUGUUUUAUGGAUUGAAGACUUGUUAAAAUUAUUCUUCAAGAUAUAUUAUUUUCUUUUUGUAAUGCAUUAAUAAAUAGUUUUUUGUAAUAAUGAUUUGAUGGAAUUAUAAAAUAGCUUAGAAUGAACAAAAGGAAAAGAAAUAACAUAUAAUGAAGAAUGAUAUGAUUAACUGUUUUUUUAGACAUUUAGAAAUUUACAACGACAGAUUGAAUAACAUUAUUAAAUGUUUUUACUGUAUGGACAUAUUAUCUAUUAUAGAAGUGAAUGGA